ensembl:lncRNA
UAGUGGUCAUCCGGUGUCUGCUUGACCUGCAGCCAUUCCCCCAGUACUCUCUCGCUCUCUCUCUCUCCACUGCUUUUGAGGGGCACAUGUCCGUUUAGAAGUUUGACCAAUGGAUGUACUGCUAGUUCUGCUCCCCAUGGGACCCCAUAGGCUCACAUGGAUAGGCGGAGAUGAAGGACCAGUGGCGUGGUGUUCACUGCAGUGCUCGUGGUUGUCCUCGCCCAGUGAUGCCACAAACUCCUUGACGUCUUGUGCUGUGGUGAAUGACAGACACUCUCCCGUGUGUGGCCCGGAGCGUUGCUGGAUAGACGUUACAGAAUCACCCACCACAACUGGACCAAGCAGCGUGGUGACAGGCAGCGACAGCAGAAGCAACAAAGAGAGGA